UCAAGAGUUUUUGUUUGGCUCAGGACGAACGCUGGCGGCGUGCUUAACACAUGCAAGUCGAGCGGAAAGGCCCCUUCGGGGGUACUCGAGCGGCGAACGGGUGAGUAACACGUGAGCAACCUGCCCCUGACUCUGGGAUAAGCCCGGGAAACUGGGUCUAAUACCGGAUAUGACCACUCCAGGCAUCUGGUGGUGGUGGAAAGUUUUUCGGUUGGGGAUGGGCUCGCGGCCUAUCAGCUUGUUGGUGGGGUGAUGGCCUACCAAGGCGACGACGGGUAACCGGCCUGAGAGGGCGACCGGUCACACUGGGACUGAGACACGGCCCAGACUCCUACGGGAGGCAGCAGUGGGGAAUAUUGCGCAAUGGGCGGAAGCCUGACGCAGCGACGCCGCGUGGGGGAUGACGGCCUUCGGGUUGUAAACCCCUUUCAGCAGGGACGAAGCUAACGUGACGGUACCCUGC
rnacentral:rRNA from 1 species